rnacentral:rRNA from 1 species
GGGUAACCUGCCCUAUGCUGGGGAAUAACCUCGGGAAACUGAGAAUAAUGCCCCAUAGUCCACCAUGCCUGGAACGGUUGGUGGAUCAAAGCUCCGGCGGCAUAGGGUGGGCCUGCGGCGUAUCAGGUCGUAGGGGGUGUAACGUACCCUCUAGCCAUCGACGCGUACGGGUGUUGGGAGACAUAGCCCGGAGAUGGAUUCUGAGACACGAAUCCAGACCCUACGGGGUGCAGCAGGCGCGAAAACUUGGCAAUGCGAGAAAUCGUGACCAGGGAACUCCAAGUGGCUGGGGUAAGACCCAGUCUUUUCUUGACUCUUCAAAGGUCUUGGAAUAAGGGGUGGGUAAGGACGGUGCCAGCCGCCGCGGUAAUACCGGCGCCUCAAGUGGUAGUCGAUUUUAUUGGGCCUAAAACGUCCGUCGCCUGUUUGGUACAUUCGUGGGUAAAUCAACCAGCUCAACUGGUUGAAUUCUGCGAGCACGGCCAGACUUGGGACCGGGAGAGGUGUGGGGUACGCUCAGGGUAGGGGUAAAAUCCUGUCAUCCUGAGCGGACCACCUGUUGCGAAGGCUCCACACUAGAACGGAUCCGACGGUCAGGGACGAAGCCUAGGGGCACGAACCGGAUUAGAUACCCGGGUAGUCCUAGGUGUAAACGCUGUGGACUUGGUGUUGGGAAGGUUCCGAGCCUUCUCAGUGCCGAAGCGAAGGUGAUAAGUCCACUGCCUGGGGAGUACGGUCGCAAGGCUGAAACUU